rnacentral:rRNA from 1 species
GACGAACGCUGGCGGCGUGCCUAACACAUGCAAGUCGAGCGGGAACCGUCCGGUGGCAACACUGGUGAAGUUCUAGCGGCGAACGGGUGAGUAACACGUGAGAAACCUGCCCCGAACUUCGGGAUAACACGGGGAAACCCGUGCUAAUACCGAAUACCCUCUUCCGGUCGCAUGGCCGGAUGCGGAAAGAUUCAUCGGUUCGGGAGGGUCUCGCGGCCUAUCAGCUAGUUGGCGGGGUAACGGCCCACCAAGGCAUCGACGGGUAGCUGGUCUGAGAGGACGAUCAGCCACACUGGGACUGAGACACGGCCCAGACUCCUACGGGAGGCAGCAGUGGGGAAUCUUGCGCAAUGGGCGAAAGCCUGACGCAGCAACGCCGCGUGCGGGAUGAAGGCCUUCGGGUUGUAAACCGCUUUCAGCAGGGAAGAAAUUGACGGUACCUGCAGAAGAAGCCCCGGCCAACUACGUGCCAGCCGCCGCGGUAA